CCUACGGGAGGCAGCAGUGAGGAAUUUUCUGCAAUGGGCGAAAGCCUGACAGAGCAAUACCGCGUGAGGGAUGAAGGCCUACGGGUUGUAAACCUCUUUUCUCAAGGAGGAAGAACUGACGUUACUUGAGGAAUAAGCAUCGGCUAACCCUGUGCCAGCAGCCGCGGUAAUACAGGGGAUGCAAGUGUUAUCCGGAAUUAUUGGGCGUAAAGCGUCUGCAGGUUGAUAUUUAAGUCUUUUGUUAAAUCUUUGGGCUUAACCCAAAAACUGCAAAAGAAACUAUUUAUCUUGAGUAUGGUAGAGGUAAAGGGAAUUUCCAGUGGAGCGGUGAAAUGCGUAGAUAUUGGAAAGAACACCAACAGCGAAGGCACUUUACUGGGCCAGUACUGACACUCAGAGACGAAAGCUAGGGGAGCAAACGGGAUUAGAUACCCCGGUAGUCCUAGCUGUAAACGAUGGAUACUAGAUGUUGUGUGCUUUCGGGCGUGCAGUGUCGUAGCUAACGCGUUAAGUAUCCCGCCUGGGAAGUAUGCUCGCAAGAGUGAAACUCAAAUGAAUUGAGGCUGAGACGNGCGACGACGACGACGAGGAGGAGG
rnacentral:rRNA from 1 species